AGGAAAGGCAAAGGGAAGAGAGAUGC
rnacentral:piRNA from 1 species